UUUGAUCCUGGCUCAGGAUGAACGCUGGCGGUAUGCUUAACACAUGCAAGUCGAACGGGACUCUUAGGAGAAUCUGGCUUCAGGUUCGGGACAACCACUGGAAACGGUGGCUAAUACCGGAUAUGCCUUUAGAGGUGAAAGAUUAAUUGCCUGAAGAUGAGCUCGCGUCUGAUUAGCUAGUUGGUGGGGUGAGAGCCUACCAAGGCGACGAUCAGUAACUGGUCUGAGAGGAUGACCAGUCACACUGGGACUGAGACACGGCCCAGACUCCUACGGGAGGCAGCAGUGGGGAAUUUUCCGCAAUGGGCGAAAGCCUGACGGAGCAAUACCGCGUGAGGGAGGAAGGCUCUUGGGUUGUAAACCUCUUUUCUCAGGGAAGAAAAAAUGACGGUACCUGAGGAAUAAGCAUCGGCUAACUCCGUGCCAGCAGCCGCGGUAAUACGGAGGAUGCAAGCGUUAUCCGGAAUUAUUGGGCGUAAAGCGUCCGCAGGUGGCAGUUCAAGUCUGCUGUCAAAGGUCAGGGCUCAACCCUGAACAGGCAGUGGAAACUGAAUAGCUAGAGUGCGGUAGGGGCAGAGGGAAUUCCCAGUGUAGCGGUGAAAUGCGUAGAGAUUGGGAAGAACACCGGUGGCGAAAGCGCUCUGCUAGGCCUGCACUGACACUCAGGGACGAAAGCUAGGGGAGCGAAUGGGAUUAGAUACCCCAGUAGUCCUAGCCGUAAACGAUGGAUACUAG
rnacentral:rRNA from 1 species